UGACUGUGCUAAGGUAGCAUAAUCAUUAGUUUUUUAAUUGAAAGCUGGAAUGAAGGGUUGGAUGAGACAUUAGCUUUCUUUAUUUUAUUUUUUUAGAAUUUUACUUUUUAGUGAAAAGGCUUAAAUUUUUUUGAGUGACGAGAAGACCCUAUAGAGUUUUAUUAAUUAUUGUUCUUCUUAUUUUGGGAUUUAAUUUGAAGUUUAUAUAUUGAUUUGAUUGGGGUGAUUGAAAAAUUAAAUUAACUUUUUCUUUAUUUUAUACAGUAAUUUCUGGAUGUUUGAUCCUUAUUAAAGAUUAAAAGAUUAAACUACCUUAGGGAUAACAGCGUAAUUUAUUUUUGGAGUUCACAUUAAAAAAUGAGUUUGCGA
rnacentral:rRNA from 1 species